UACGGGGGGGGCAAGCGUUGUUCGGAAUUACUGGGCGUAAAGCGUGCGCAGGCGGUUGGCCAAGUCAGCUGUGAAAGCCCCGGGCUUAACCUGGGAAUGGCGGUUGAAACUAGUCGACUAGAAUCUGGCAGAGGGGGGUGGAAUUCCACGUGUAGCAGUGAAAUGCGUAGAGAUGUGGAGGAACACCGAUGGCGAAGGCAGCCCCCUGGGCUGAGAUUGACGCUGAGGCGCGAAAGCUAGGGGAGCGAACGGG
rnacentral:rRNA from 1 species